GCGUGUGGCUACUUGCAUGGUGUCGGUAGGUGACGGGUCCGGUAGAAUAUAGUUUCCGAUAUAUAGCCCUAUAUUGUUCACACUGUUGUCUCUGGAGACCUUUUUUUGUUUUGUUUGAGAACGGCCCUUUGGAGACUACUGUGCAGGUGUAUCGUAUGCCCAUGCCCUCUGGGCCUUCUGUUUUCUGUAUUCUAUGUUGGAUUUGUUGGGCCUUUUAUCUUGUAGUGAUGCGAUAAGUAACUUCUAUGCCCAAAACUUCUAGACUAUUUCUUCUUUUCUUUCGCAAUUUUUUAUUAGUAACCCUAACCAUGAUGCAUUCCCUGUUAAAUAUGCUUAAUAGUUUUAGAAAAGUGUAUAUACUUAAUUAGUACUCCCUCCGCUCCUUAAAGAUUGGCAUAUUAGUUUCCAUUAAGACAAACUUUUGACUACAAAUUACUAUGUCAAGGUAUGGUUUAUAUGACAUGAAAUCAGUAUCGCUAGAUUCGUUAUCAAAAGUACUUCCUGAUACUUUUGGUUUCAUGUCAUAUAAACCACACGUUAACAUAGUAAUUUGUGGUUAAAGCGUUGUCUGAAAGCUAAUUUUCCAAUCUUUAAGGAAUGGAGGGAGUAGUAAAUAAGUAAGAUUUGGGGAUCCCUAAUUUUUUUAAACCUUGUGCGGUUGCCCACCAGGCCACCAUGCCGUUGCCACUAUAUGUUCCUAGUACACCAUUUUAUGGAAGCUUAUGGAUUGUAAAUAAAAAAGAUGGAUCUUACUAUUAUUUGCUGUCAUCAGAAAUCAUUAUCUCUUGAAGCUGAAAAACUACUGUUUGAAAAGAAAAAAAACAAAUGUGAAUGCAGAUGCAGCUAAAGCAUGCAACUAAACUUGCCCGCAAAAAAAAGCAUGCAACUAAACAAAUCAUUAUCACC
rnacentral:lncRNA from 1 species